rnacentral:lncRNA from 1 species
CAAAAACUAUAGGUAGGUGUUAAUAUAAGAAAGUUUUAUCAUAUUUUGUCGCUUUUUUCUUGUAAAAUUUACCAUGCUGUCAAUUUUGUAUUUUUGUGAUUUUUCUAAGUUUUAAGAACAAAAUGUAUAAUAUUUCAACUUUUUUGUUAUCAAUGAAUGAAAAAAGACAUAUCUAAGAAGAUCCUUGUAAAAUCAUUUUUUUGUAUCUUCAAGCCAUUUCUAAAAUUUUGGCUAAAAAUACUGACUUGAUUGGUUGUAAAAUUUGAAAACUAGAUUACGCAAAAACCAUUCAUUGUAAAUACACAAUUUUUUCACAGAUUUAUGUUUGCUUAUAAUAUUUUUAAAAUUCAUUGAUAUUUUCCACUUCUAUCACAUGUUUUGGAAAUCAUUCAAGAACAAGAUUUCAACGAGACUCAACGAGACUGAAAAGCCAGAAGAAUACAUCCUUAACCACGUUAUUUCAAAAGUAUAAUAAAAAGAAUGGUCACUGACUCACUGUGCUAAUUUUCAAGUCGUACAAUAUUGCCUCAUUUUGAGUAGAUCAUUCAGGAAAAAGUUUUUUGUGAAUAAAAAAUAAUCUAUGAAAUAGAAUUUUAGAAUAAAUAAUGAGAAGAUAGGUUAUAUAAAAUACUGUAAAAAAAAUAAAAAAUAAAAAUAGUAUCCCUAGACUUAUUUUCUUGAUAAAGGUAUUAAAUAUUUCUUUAACAUUCCUUUAUAACAAUUUUACUAUUUGUUAUCUCCCCUGAACAAAUUACAUUACUGUUUGAAUUGUUUGCUCAAUUGACUUUUUUUUCAAGUGUUAUAUAAGCUUUAGUUAUCCUUUUUGUACUGUUUUGUAUUGAUGUUUUACUUUAUAAUGAGACAUUGUCAAGUUUUUUAUAAUAUUAAAUAUCUGUUUUAUUGUAUCAACGUGUGUAUGUUUCUCAAAAAUCAGGUCAACGUAAAUAAUAAUCAACAAUCUUUUUUGACUGUUUUAUCAUGUAAUUGUAUUAAUUUUUUUUAUAACUGU